UUUGUUCAAGUAGGCUACUCUUUUUGCUUCAUCUUCAAGGUCGAAUCCUUAACAGCUAAGGAUUCUCUAAGAUGUCAUUUAUCUUCAGUUGUUUCUCUUUUAACUUCUUGUUGUUUGUUUGUUACUUUGUUGUUGUUUGUUGCUGCUUUGACCUAUUGUUGUUGUUGUGUUACUUGUGUGUGUUCUUGUUAUGGGGUUAGUAGUAUCACUAUUAGGGUAGUUUUCUGAUGCUUAAAUUUGAUGUCUUUAGGUUAUAGAACCCUCUAGUUAUGCACCCUCUUCCCAAACAUCACCUACUGCCCAAGCUGAACCUAUUGCCCAAGCUGAAUCUACUGCCACUCCAACUAAUGCUAAGGUUCCCCCAUUUCCACCUAAAGGUAAGGGCAAGGUGUGUAAUAAUAGGAAAAAGUCUACUGCUUGGGACCAUUUUGAAAAAAUAGAUAUUGGUGAGGGUCAUUUUAAGGCUGUUUGCAAUUAUUGUCAAAAAACUUAUCUAACUGAUAGUAAGGGGCAUGGUACUACUAAUUUAUUGAAUCAGACGACAAUUUGUGUUAAGAACCCUAAUAGAGAUGCAUUUAAAGGGCAACAAACCUUAGCAUUUGAGCCUAAAAGGGAUGGGGAGGAAGGGUUUCAGCUUGUACUAACAGCCUUUAGUGUUGAGGCUUUUAGAAAGGCACUCGCUGAAAUGGUUAUAAUAGAUGAAUUGCCUUUUAGGUUUGUUGAAUGGUAUUGGUUUCAAAGAUAUUCAACAACCUUACAACCUAAGUUGUGAAUUAGGGAUAUCCCAUCUCGUCAAACUAUGGCUAGGGAUGUGAUUGGCAUUUAUGGUGUUGAGAGAGAGAAACUAAGAGGGGCCUUGAAGGGUCAUAGGGUGUGUCUUACUACGGACACAUGAACUAGUAUUCAAAAUUUGAAUUAUAUGUCCCUUACAUGUCAUUUUAUUGAUGAUGAUUGGAAGUUGCAUAAGAGAAUUCUAAAUUUUUGUAAAGUUGAAGACCAUAAGGGGGAGACCAUAGGUAGAAAGAUUGAGAUGUGUUUGCGUGAGCAGGGUAUCAAUGGCAUAUUCACUUUAACAAUGGACAAUGCUAGCUCAAAUGGUGCCACCAUUAAAUUUUUGCAAACUGUAACUAAAGAUUAGAAGGGGACUGUUUUAGAACAUGAGUUCUUACACAUAAGGUGUUGUGCACAUAUUCUAAAUCUGAUUGUGGGGGAUGGUUUGAGAGAAAUUGAUGCAUCCAUUGCUAAGGUGUGUGAAGCUGUGAGGUAUGUGAAGUCCUCACCAAAUAGGAAUCAAACUUUUUAUGGGUUUUAUGGAGAGAUUAGGUAUUGUGUCUAAAUCUCUUCUUUGACUAGAUGUACCAACUAUGUGGAACUCUACCUAUCUCAUGUUAGAAACCAUAGAAAAAUUUGAGAAAGUGUUCAUACAAAUGGACUUUGAGGAUGAUAGUUAUUCUUCAUACUUUAUGAACAAUGAGAAUAGUGGUGAUAUGGGAUCUCCUAGUGGUAUUGAUUUCCAAAAUUGUAGGACAUUUGUGGGUUUUUUGAAACUUUUUUACAAUGCAACGAAAAAGUUUUCAGGUUCUUUGUAUAUUACUACAAACACCUUUUUUGAUGAGAUGUUUGUCAUUCAAGAGAAUAUUGCCCGUUUAAGUAAAUCUCAAAACCACCUCUUGAAAAACAUGGCAACUAAAAUGGAAUCUAAGUUUGAUAAGUAUUGGGGGAAAGUGGAUAAAAGUAAUCAUCUUUUGUAUGUGGUUGUGGUUCUUAAUCCAAGAAAGAAGUUGAGGUUUUUGAAGUUUUCUUUUUCUGAAAUUUAUGGGAAUGAAGUGGCUGAUGAGAUGAUUGAAUUGGUGAGGGGUAACUUGGUCAAGUUGUAUGAUUAUUACUCUUGUGUUGAUUCUCCAAAUGUACAAGCACUAAGUGGGAGUGAGAGGACACACAUAGAAGGUGAGUCAAUUGGUUGUAGUGAUCCAUAUGUGAUGGUUAAUUCUAGGUUUGAGCGUUUCUUGGAGGCUGAGCAGUCCAUAGGGUGUAGCAAUGAGAUUGACAAAUAUUUGGGUGAAAAUUGUGAAAGUAGAAGGGGGAUGUGAAAUUUGAGAUAUUGGGGUGGUGGAAGACCAAUUCAAAUAGGUAUCAAGUGCUGUUCAAAUUGGCUAGGGAUGUGCUGGCUGUACCUAUUUCUACUGUUGCUUCUGAGUCAGCAUUUAAUUCCGGAGGACGCAUACUUGAUCCAUUUCGGAGUUCACUCUCUCCACUCAUGGUUCAAAAUCUUGUUUGUGCACAAGAUUGGCUUCAAGCCUUGGUUCCAAUUUCUUUUCACAAAUCAAAAGAUGAGUUAGAGGCCUUGGAAGAUGAAUUUCAUGAUUUUGUUAUAAGUCAAGCAGCAGCAAGUGGUGGAAGUUCAAGCUCAAACAAAGGUAUCUCAAUUAGUGUUGAUGACUAAUCACUAACUGGGAGGAAGGACACAUUUUGUAUAGGAGGCAAAUUUUUGGAUAUAUUUUGGAAGCUUUUGGACAUAUUGUUUUUCUAACUUAUAAUUUAUAAAUCAACUAUUGCUUAUGGGAAAGAAAACUUAUUAAGUUUAUAGGUUUUCUUUUCUAUAAUUCAUGGACUUAACUAUAGCGCGAUUGCUCUUUAAAGCUUUAGAAAAGCUAUUUUUUUGGAAAUACUUUGGUAUUUCAUAAUUGUAACUAAUUAUAACUAGCUACUACCUUGGUAGUUUACUGCCUUACACACUUGUAGUAAUUGCCUU